UCUAUAUUUUUAUAAUAACAUAAUGUAUAUAUUUUCUGUAUAACCAAAUUAUGUUACACUUAUGAAUGGAGCUUUUUGCAUUAUUUUGAACAUUGUCUAGCAUUCAUUUCAUGUGUUAUUGUAGUUUAUCUGGCUGAAUAAUUACAGCUUAACAUUAGGUCUGUGAAUCAGCAUUCCUGACUUUUAGCAUAAAGAGAAGAUCGUUUAAAUUAUUUAAAAGUUAUGAAUCAAGGUAGCUUGCUAUUCGUCAGCGUUAGCGGGCAAGAUCAAGUUAGCUAAAUUACACAGAUCAAUCCUUAUGGCACUAUAUUUCACAUGCUUUGCAGUUAUGUAAGCUUACAUAACUGUAAGCUGUCCAAUAAGAAGAAGGUCGGUUUUGACAUUCGAAGGUCCCACCAGGAAUCAAAUGUCCUUCUGAUGUUCACUCUAGUUUUCGCUCGACCAUGAUCAAGUUCAAGCUUAGCCAGAUGGGAUUCAGUAGAUAUAUUUUAGUUUUUUCUCUCAGAGUUUGUGAAGGAGUCAGUGUUGUGCUGGGAGCCAGACAUUUCUAGUUCUCUAAGAUAACAUUACCUAGUGUUGCAGACUGUCUGUUGUCACUGUUGAAUAGCAGAAGCACUGAGGCAAGGCUCUCGGAAGGGCGCAUAAACGUCACAUCCUUUGGAUUUUCCAUGCAAAAGUGACCCGCUCCCUUCACAAGAAAAUCAAUCUACAGGCUUUAAUAGGCAACCAAGGAAUUCCAGGAAGGGCUAAUUUUUUAAGUUGUGUUACAAGCCGUUCACACAUUGGCAAAAAAAGGCAAAUAUUACAUGAAAAAUUGUACGUAUUGCACCUUUAAAAAGAUUGUACGGAGGCCCCAAAAUCCUGUGCAGCAAAUUGUCAGGCACAUCCAUGAGAAGUAGAGAGUAGCAAAACAGAAGAAAAUAUCUAUUUCCUCUCCCCUUAAACAGCUCCAUCUCUCUGGACCAGUGAUUUAUGAACAUGGAUCAUGUCAGCAGUACAAUGAUGGACAGACAUUCAUUUCUUGCUCUUAAGGCAAUAACUGUUUUUCCAUAGGGAGCAGAAUUAUCAUUGUGAGAAAUAUUUUGCUUUCUUCUUGUUAAAGCUGUCAAAGUACUGUGUCAUUUCUUUGAAAACUACGACUCCUUUUUUUUUUUUAGCUACCCAAUUGACUCAGCAUGCCUUGGAAUUCACUUUGUUUCAAACUUAUCCAAAGACUUUUGUGUUGUGUCGGUUGAGGAAUUAAGGAGAAAAAUGGCAUUAAAGUCUGGAUAUGUGGCAUUGUUUAAAAUUUUUUCAGCAUGCUACCAUUUGCAGUUGUGGAUUUUAUGGAUGGUGAAGGUGUAGCAAUUGUACUCUGCAAGUGGUUUACAGGACCAGAGGAAGAUGCUUGUUACUGUCCACCAGGAUGAGUCAACAUUAGCAAAGCAGUGAAGGAUGGACUUGCUCCAAACACUGACUGGCCGCAGUUUAAAAGUAUGCAUCUUGGGAAAAGCAGGAAACUAUGCCCAUGCCACAGCAAAGCUUUUGUAGUCUCAGGUGAACUCUGACUUGCAGACAGAGUCAGAUUCCUGAGGAAGAAUUUGAAAAAGGAAGCGCAAAAGAAGGCCAUUGAUUCUGUUAAGCUUAGAUGAGGAAUCAGAUGGUGCUGGGAUGAUCAUCCACCAUCCAAUGUGCCUUCACCUCACCCAGUCCCAGAGGACCUCCAACCAGAGGCUCCCCACUCACUCAACACCUGUCCCUUUAUCCAGCCCCCUCCACCUUCAACACCUUCAGCUGUUCUGCAAAGUGCCAUUUAGAGAUGGCAUGUUUGUACACCUUCUAACCCUCCUGGAUGAAAUCAAGGAGAAGCAGAGGGUUCAUGGGAAGAUGAUACAAUAACUCCUCACACAACGUGAUGUUGCAGCACUAUCCGAGGAUGCCGUUUCCCCCCUAAAAAUGGCCUCGGAUGUUGAAGCAAUGGAGCAGAAAUUGGCAGACCCCACCUUCCACAAAGAAGUGGUUGCUGUGGUGGCACAUAUUGUAGGGAGUACUGUGGAUGAAGCCACUCGAAGAAUGAUGGCCUUCCUUUUGGACCACUCCUUAUUAAGAGAGUACAAUUUUGUUGGGUGCCAUGGCAAGCGAGAAUUCCAGGGA